rnacentral:tRNA from 1 species
GCAGAUAUAGCUCAGUUGGUAGAGUGCUUGCCUUGCAUGCACAAGGCACCUGGGUUCAAUCCCCAGCACCAAUA